UACGUAGGGUGCGAGCGUUGUCCGGAAUUAUUGGGCGUAAAGAGCUCGUAGGCGGUUUGUUGCGUCGGCCGUGAAAACCUGCAGCUUAACUGUGGGCCUGCGGCCGAUACGGGCAGACUUGAGUUCGGUAGGGGAGACUGGAAUUCCUGGUGUAGCGGUGAAAUGCGCAGAUAUCAGGAGGAACACCGGUGGCGAAGGCGGCCUUCUGGACGAUGACUGACGCUGAGACGCGAAAGCGUGGGGAGCAAACAGG
rnacentral:rRNA from 1 species